CGGGGGCGUGGGUAACGCUGCCCUCGAAACCCCCCUCGGCCCAAUCCAAUCGCCCGCAUGCCGGAACCCUUCCUCCCUCCUUGAUCUCUCUCCCUCAGCCGCCACGAACACUAGCCCCUUUUCCUACGAUCCCGCGGUCGCUGCCCUUGCUCCAUCCGACCUCCCUCGUCAGCCGCCGCCGCAAUGGCUCCUUCGUCCUCCGACUCUGUCUCCCCAAUUCAUCCUCCAUCCCUUUCUGCUUGAGGUGCUCAUCGGCCCAGGUCGUGAGGAAGCCGCGUGAGGAGGAGCCCAGGUCGCGAAGCCGCGUGAGGAGGAGAUACCUCGCCCGAGAAGCUGUGGGAGGAGGGCCUCAACCAGAGAGGAGCGGCUGCCAGCCAUGUAGUUGGCUCAGGUCGACGCCGUCCUUGGCGUCCGGGCCGCGGCAGACCCUAGCGCCAUCCUUCAGGAGUCUUCACGACCUCCAGGUGCGCAUCUUUCAGGAUUUAAUAAUGAGUUAUCUUGGGCUUCAUUGGACAAAUGAUCUACCUGGAGCAUUGAUACAGCAUACAAUGCGCCAGGUUCUACUGCAACAGCACGACAUACAAAGUCAUGGAGGAGAGGUGUUCAGAGAAAGAGUUAUACAUGUGCCAGGUUCUGAAGUAUGAGGAUCCGGUGCGACAGGAAGCAACUCUGAAUAUGGUUCCUGUAGAUGAACUUAAGGAGAAGGCGCUUAUUUCACUGGCCAAGGUGUGGAGAGUCGACCACGGCGAGCUUGGCUAAUGUCAACACGUGAAGCUGGGUCAAGUACAGAAGACGAAACACAAGAUUCAAGAUCACUCUCCUGUAUGUGAUUAUUUACUCAUUUCGAGCCAUUUUGCAACCCAACUUGACUUCUUUUAUUUUGUGAUCUGAGCUAUACACACCAAAAUUAGCCCACAAAGUUUGAACCAUAUCUGAACAUGUUAGAUCACUCUCAUGUAUGUGAUGAUUUACUCUAUGGAGCCAUGUUAUGACCUAGCUUGAGUUCUUUUAAUCGCGAUCUGAGCUGCAAAAUAAAAAUAAAAAUAAAAAUAGUCCACGUAAUUUGAACCAUAUCUGAACAUUUUAGUAUCUGAAUACUGAAGUUACCAAACAUGAUCUUCACUUCGCCAUGUGUGACACCACUGAGUACUUUAACUAAGCUAACUGUAGUAAUAUUACGUUUUACAUGGCUAUGCAAGUUAAAGGUUCUAAUAUAGUGUACGUUUAUCGAUAUUUUGUGUUAUACUGAUUAAUAUACUUCACAUAUAAGUUUUAAGCUAAGAGCUCCUAAUAAUUGUUUCUCCUCUUUGCAGUUGCCAUUUUAGUCAUAUUUUUUCUGAGAUAAAGAAUAAUAUUGAGAUGAAUUUCCUUUCCGAUGAUGAGAUUGGGUAUGCCUAUGUUUUGUAUUUUUUUCAGUAUUAUUUUAUUUCAGGCUUCAGUAAGCUGAGAGAGCUAACAAAUAAUAUGGUAAACAAUUUCUAUCAAGUGGGUGAGCUCCAUUUUUCAAGGUAAGUCAGGUGACAGCCAAAAAAACAAGGAGAUGAGUCUCUUAUCAGUUGAUUUGAUCUUAUCCAGGUUCUAUUUUCUUUCAGGCCAUGAGUUACGAUGUCUUGGUUAGAGCUACUACAUUCAAAGAGUAAAUCUGUUUCGUUGUACUGAAUUUAUGUACAUUGUAUGAAAAAGGUGCAUGUGUUAUGCCAUGUAGAAUUUUCAGCUGAGCAAUUGUGUAGACUUACAAAGCUAUCAUGACAGAUGUUAGUGAUUUCUGUAUUGGGGCCAUGUUACAUCUCUAGGGUUGAAUUAAUGGCUAGAAAUUCAGACUUACAUAGCUGAAAACAGGGUUGCUCGAAGCAAACAAGCUGCCUAUUCAGUAUUUUUAACACUCAUGGAAAAGGUAUAUGCUCUUCCUAAAUUCCAAAUUAUUAUUAUAUCACAUAACUGAAAGUGCAUUAGACCAAUGGUGUUAUCAGAAAUAAAUUUCUGCCCCAUAGCUGAACCGUGUCUUUUCUCAGUGUGUAUAUAUGUUAGAGAUGUGUAUGAUUCAGAUAAUUUUCUUCAUUUGUUAACUUUACCAAUGUAUGGCUGACAUGCUUCAUUAUGUUAUAUCACAUCUGAAAGUGCAGUACGCCGGUGGUUUAUUAGAAUGGAUAAUUUCAGUCAAAUAAUAGAGUUCUUUUCUUCGGUGUAUAUACAAGUUACAGAUGUGCAUGAUUAUGUUUAUUCUCUACAUUUGGUAAAUUCACCUAUGUAUGGCUGACAUACUUCUUCAGGUUAUGUUUCUAAAGCUCCAUGCUUAAUCAUCCAGAAUGUUUCCAAGUGACUGCUUUACACAUGGGAGACUAGAUGCAUGGAGGAGUUCAGAGAAGCUGGUGUUAUGUUACAUAUGGUCUUCAAGCUGAUGUUAUGUUUCUUCCAUGGUUUGUAUAUUUGUUGCAAAAACAUAGUACAAGAAAAAGAUCUAUGCUCAUGAAGAUGGCAGAAGGGAACUACAUGUGGAACAAGAACCACCAGAACUGACCAGUUGGGCGUCUGGAUAGUGGUAGUGCACAAAAAUUGCUUGCUGUAUAGAGUCAAUGUUAUCCACUACUAGCCCACUCGCUGAUUUUUAUGUUAUGAAAUUAUAGUUCAACCAUAGUAUGUAUUUACACUCCCGCUGUGAGAUUGUACUAUAUAAAUCAUGGGAGGACAAAGUAGGCCUUUAUAUGCAAAUAACUCCUUGUUGAAAUGAGUAACUUGAGCCAUUUGGCACAACAGGUCUA